CAAGGCUGGUUCCAAAGCAGACGCUGCUGCCCCAUAUUAUUGGGAAGCGACAGGACCUAGCUUAACAGUUCCACACUAAGGAAACAAUGGAAGCUGGUGUUUGCUGACUUCAGUGUGGAACAGAAGACUACAUUAUGUAUCUUAACCACUACAGAUUUACGUUCUAUAAUUUCAGCUUGAACCCUCCUUCCCGUGUUGUGUGUCUGUAUCAGUCAGUAUUUACUAGAGAAACAGAUAAAACACAAGAUAUACAAAUAUAUAUGAAUUUACAAGAUUGCCUUACAGUAGCCACCCACAGAGUCAGGUGAGGGAGAGUGGAGAGGGUCUGUCGGCACACUAGACCCUGAAGCAUUUAGUGAAAGGUCUGGAGCUCACUGCAGUGUCCCGAGAGAGUCCUUUAUGAUGGGUCUAUGAUGGAAGGCGGAAGGAUCUGCCCCAGAAACCAAAGAGUCUGCUAGCUAGGUACCGGAAGCCAGAAGAUGUCCAAGGCGAAGACAGGAGCUCCUCCAAAGGAACAGAAGCAGCAGCGUCCUUCCUCAUUUCCCCUUUAUACCAUCCAGGCCAGCAGCCGCAGCUAUAGGACUUGGAAUUGCCGAGCCAAUUUAGCUAAUGUCACCAAACUUCUCAAGUUGACACAACCAUUACAGUGUCCUGUAGCAUCUUUGCUCCCUUUGCACUUGAACACUUUUUUGCAGACUAAAUUCCACCCCCAUUUCAUUAUGACUUGAUUUAAAACUUCUCAGGAAAACAGACCAUUAAGCAAAAAUUCCUUCUAUUUUCCAAAUGCUAGAAAUUUCCUGACCUUUUUGACAGUAUCAGGGGAAUGAGUAACUCCAUAUUCUGUGCAAGAAUAUUCAUAUUCUAUAUCCAUAUCCUAGUUCCAGCUGCCCCUUUCUCUUUCAUUUAUAUGUUUAGUUUUUAGUCUUCCACAAAUUCUGGUUCCUUAGCUUCUCCUUCUGUAACUUUCACUGUAUUUCCUUCACAGUCAAGCUUUCUUUAAAAAGUCCACAUUCUUCAUUAUCUUUUUUUGUUUAUCUGACAUUGAUUCAUCAACUCUCUGCAAUCUGGCUUUGUAUCUAUCCCAUUAUAAGAAUGCUCCCUUAAAAUUUCUAUUAUUUAGAAGAAAGUAAGUUUCAUUCUUUUGUAUAAUACUGAAAUGAUGAUCCUGUUGAGACUAGUAGAAUAAGCUCAAAACUAUUAGAAUGGUGUAGGUCCCAAUUCUAACUAUUAGAAUUUGAUGAGUGACUUCUUUUUUAUCUAUCCCCCCCCUUUUAGAACUCUAUAGCAGAAACUAGCCAAUAAUGAAAUCUAUUUCUUUACCCUGAGCACAUGGCCAAACUUUCCAUGUAACUGAGUUCUAGCCAAUAAAAUGUGACUAGAAGUGAUGUGUUAUUUUCAGGCUUAUGAAGUCCUAUAUCUUCAAAACCAUAUAAGAGAGAGAUGCCAGAGUCAGGAAAGAAAGGG
rnacentral:lncRNA from 1 species